GAUGAACGCUGGCGGCGUGCCUAAUACAUGCAAGUCGAGCGAACAGACGAGGAGCUUGCUCCUCUGACGUUAGCGGCGGACGGGUGAGUAACACGUGGAUAACCUACCUAUAAGACUGGGAUAACUUCGGGAAACCGGAGCUAAUACCGGAUAAUAUAUUGAACCGCAUGGUUCAAUAGUGAAAAACGGUUUUGCUGUCACUUAUAGAUGGAUCCGCGCCGCAUUAGCUAGUUGGUAAGGUAACGGCUUACCAAGGCAACGAUGCGUAGCCGACCUGAGAGGGUGAUCGGCCACACUGGAACUGAGACACGGUCCAGACUCCUACGGGAGGCAGCAGUAGGGAAUCUUGCGCAAUGGGCGAAAGCCUGACGGAGCGACGCCGCGUGAGUGAUGAAGGUCUUCGGAUCGUAAAACUCUGUUAUUAGGGAAGAACAAAAGUGUAAGUAACUAUGCACGUCUUGACGGUACCUAAACAGAAAGCCACGGCUAACUACGUG
rnacentral:rRNA from 1 species